AGAGUUUGAUCCUGGCUCAGGAUGAACGCUGGCGGCGUGCCUAAUACAUGCAAGUCGAGCGAACGGACGAGAAGCUUGCUUCUCUGAUGUUAGCGGCGGACGGGUGAGUAACACGUGGAUAACCUACCUAUAAGACUGGGAUAACUUCGGGAAACCGGAGCUAAUACCGGAUAAUAUUUUGAACCGCAUGGUUCAAAAGUGAAAGACGGUCUUGCUGUCACUUAUAGAUGGAUCCGCGCUGCAUUAGCUAGUUGGUAAGGUAACGGCUUACCAAGGCAACGAUGCAUAGCCGACCUGAGAGGGUGAUCGGCCACACUGGAACUGAGACACGGUCCAGACUCCUACGGGAGGCAGCAGUAGGGAAUCUUCCGCAAUGGGCGAAAGCCUGACGGAGCAACGCCGCGUGAGUGAUGAAGGUCUUCGGAUCGUAAAACUCUGUUAUUAGGGAAGAACAUAUGUGUAAGUAACUGUGCACAUCUUGACGGUACCUAAUCAGAAAGCCACGGCUAACUACGUGCCAGCAGCCGCGGUAAUACGUAGGUGGCAAGCGUUAUCCGGAAUUAUUGGGCGUAAAGCGCGCGUAGGCGGUUUUUUAAGUCUGAUGUGAAAGCCCACGGCUCAACCGUGGAGGGUCAUUGGAAACUGGAAAACUUGAGUGCAGAAGAGGAAAGUGGAAUUCCAUGUGUAGCGGUGAAAUGCGCAGAGAUAUGGAGGAACACCAGUGGCGAAGGCGACUUUCUGGUCUGUAACUGACGCUGAUGUGCGAAAGCGUGGGGAUCAAACAGGAUUAGAUACCCUGGUAGUCCACGCCGUAAACGAUGAGUGCUAAGUGUUAGGGGGUUUCCGCCCCUUAGUGCUGCAGCUAACGCAUUAAGCACUCCGCCUGGGGAGUACGACCGCAAGGUUGAAACUCAAAGGAAUUGACGGGGACCCGCACAAGCGGUGGAGCAUGUGGUUUAAUUCGAAGCAACGCGAAGAACCUUACCAAAUCUUGACAUCCUUUGACAACUCUAGAGAUAGAGCCUUCCCCUUCGGGGGACAAAGUGACAGGUGGUGCAUGGUUGUCGUCAGCUCGUGUCGUGAGAUGUUGGGUUAAGUCCCGCAACGAGCGCAACCCUUAAGCUUAGUUGCCAUCAUUAAGUUGGGCACUCUAAGUUGACUGCCGGUGACAAACCGGAGGAAGGUGGGGAUGACGUCAAAUCAUCAUGCCCCUUAUGUUUUGGGCUACACACGUGCUACAAUGGACAAUACAAAGGGCAGCGAAACCGCGAGGUCAAGCAAAUCCCAUAAAGUUGUUCUCAGUUCGGAUUGUAGUCUGCAACUCGACUACAUGAAGCUGGAAUCGCUAGUAAUCGUAGAUCAGCAUGCUACGGUGAAUACGUUCCCGGGUCUUGUACACACCGCCCGUCACACCACGAGAGUUUGUAACACCCGAAGCCGGUGGAGUAACCUUUUAGGAGCUAGCCGUCGAAGGUGGGACAAAUGAUUGGGGUGAAGUCGUAACAAGGUAGCCGUAUCGGAAGGUGCGGCUGGAUCACCU
rnacentral:rRNA from 1 species